AACGAACGCUGGCGGCAUGCCUAACACAUGCAAGUCGAACGAGACCUUCGGGUCUAGUGGCGCACGGGUGCGUAACGCGUGGGAACCUGCCCUUAGGUUCGGAAUAACUCCCCGAAAGGGGUGCUAAUACCGGAUAAUGUCUUCGGACCAAAGAUUUAUCGCCUUUGGAUGGGCCCGCGUUGGAUUAGCUAGUUGGUAGGGUAAAAGCCUACCAAGGCGACGAUCCAUAGCUGGUCUGAGAGGAUGAUCAGCCACACUGGGACUGAGACACGGCCCAGACUACUACGGGAGGAAGCAGUGGGGAAUAUUGGAAAAUGGGCGAAAGCCUGAUCCAGCAAUGCCGCGUGAGUGAUGAAGGCCUUAGGGUUGUAAAGCUCUUUUACACGGGAUGAUAAUGACAGUACCGGGAGAAUAAGCUCCGGCUAACUCCGUG
rnacentral:rRNA from 1 species